CCCCGUUGCCUCGCGUUCCCAAGCCACAUGAUAUCCCCCAACCUCCCCCUCCGGCUCCGCCACCUCCGCCGCCUUCUCGCCGCCGCGCCCUGUUCCUCCCCCGCCGCCGCAUACUACUCGCGCGCAUCCUCCCCGCCGUUAAGCCGCGCUCAGGCCCCGCCCCCGCCCCCGCGGCGCCAUCUCCCGGACCUCCCGGCGCGACGGUUCUCCUCCGGGCACGUCCUCCUCCCCACCAACCUCCAGGAGGAGCACGUCGCGUCUCUGUCCGAUAGGAUCUACGACGCGGUGACGGAGACAGAGGAGGGCUCCAACGAGGGCACGGAGGCCGCCCUCGACGCGCUGGGCGCCGAGCUGACCACCCCGCUCGUGGCCGACGUGAUGCACCGCCUGCGCUACGAGGAGAAGCUGGCCUUCCGCUUCUUCGCCUGGGCCUCCCAGCAGGACAACUACGAGCACGAGCACCGGACGUACAACGACAUGAUCGACAUCCUCUCCGGCACGCGGUACAAGUCCCGCCAGUUCGGCGUCCUCUGCGACGUGCUCGACCACAUGAAGCGCCACGGCACGAGGUCGGUGCCGGUCGAGGACCUGCUAGGCAUCCUGCGCGCCUACACCGAGAAGCACCUCACCAACCUCAGGAAGCUGGCCAAGAAGCGGCGGGUGCGGAUGCGCACGCCGCCGGAGACCGACGCGCUCAACAUCCUCCUGGACGCCUUCUGCAAGUGCGGGAUGGUCAGGGAGGCGGAGACGGUGUUUGGUCGUAUGAAGAAGAAGCUGCAGGGAAAUGCCGAGACCUACAGCAUCCUGUUCUUUGGGUGGUGCCGCGCCAGGGACCCCAAGAAGGCCAUGAAGGUGCUCGAGGAAAUGAUUGAGAUGAAGCACACCCCGGAGAACUUCACGUACAUUGCUGCUAUUGACUCGUUCUGCAGCUCUGGUUUGAUCUCGGAGGCAAGAGAGUUGUUUGAGUUCAUGAGGGCCGAGGGGUCGAAGAUAUCCUCUCCCACAGCUAAGGUAUAUGCUAUUAUGAUUGUUGCGCUAGCCAAAGCUGAUCGGAUGGAUGAGUGCUUUGAGCUGAUUUCGGAUAUGAUUAAACGUGGCUGCAUGCCUGAUGUAUCAACCUUUAAAGAUUUGAUUGAAGGCAUGUGCUUGGUGGAUAGACUUGAUGCUGCCUACUGCAUUUUGGAGGAGAUGGGGAAGGCUGGGUUUCCUCCUGACAUUGUCACUUACAAUUGCUUUCUUGAGGUGCUUUGUAGUCUUCAGAAGGCUGAUGAUGCGCUCAAACUCGCCGAGAGGAUGAUAGAAGCACACUGUGAGCCCAGUGUUCAUACUUACAAUAUGCUGAUGGAGAUGUUUUUUGGUAUGAGAGAGCCACACAGGGCACUCGAUAUUCGGACUGAAAUGGACAAGAGAGGAUGUCGACGUGCUGUUGAUACCUAUGAAAUAAUGAUUGAUGGGCUGUUUGAUUGUGGAAGAACAGAAGACGCUACCACUCUUCUAGAUGAAGUAAUAAACCAUGACAUGAAACUGUCGUACAAGAAGUUCGAUUCUAUCAUGCUGCAGUUGUCAGCUGUUGGCAACCUUGGCGCAAUACAUCGGCUUUCAGAGCAUAUGAGAAAAUUUUACAAUGUUGCAAUGUCAAGACGUUUUUCGAUCACACAGAAGAAGAAGAGCAUUGGUAUUAGACGGAGAUGAGUUCUGCAAGAUAUAUUAUUGUUAGCACGAAUAGUCAAGAGCGUAAGGGUGGUUGAUACAAGUCUGCACAUUUUGUCGGAGCAAUUUGCAGUGGAAGCAGCAGUGUAUGAACCGAAGUAUUUUGCCAAGGACACAGGCAAUGAUAACACAGGUAGUAGUUCCUCAUUGAUUCGGUUUACCUAUGGAGAUGACCCCUAAAAAUGUAUGAAGACAUUGAAGACAAAGGUGG